rnacentral:rRNA from 1 species
CCCUUAGAUGUUCUGGGCCGCACGCGCGCUACACUGAUGCAUUCAACGAGUUUCUUCCUGGUCCGAGAGGAAUGGGUAACCUUUUGAAAGUGCAUCGUGAUAGGGAUAGACUAUUGCAAUUAUUGGUCUUCAACGAGGGAUUCCUAGUAGACGUAGUUCAUCAGACUGCAUCGAUUACGUCCCUGCCCUUUGUACACACCGCCCGUCGCUCCUACCGAUUGAAUGCUCAGGUGAGCCAUUCGGACUUUCAUCAUGCUGGUUUCCAGUUUUGAUGAAGGAAAGUCUUGCGAACCUUAUCAUUUAGAGGAAGGAGAAGUCGUAACA